rnacentral:rRNA from 1 species
AGGCAGCAGUGAGGAAUAUUGGUCAAUGGGCGCGAGCCUGAACCAGCCAAGUAGCGUGAAGGAUGACUGCCCUACGGGUUGUAAACUUCUUUUAUAAAGGAAUAAAGUGAGGCACGUGUGCCUUUUUGUAUGUAUUUUAUGAAUAAGGAUCGGCUAACUCCGUGCCAGCAGCCGCGGUAAUACGGAGGAUCCGAGCGUUAUCCGGAUUUAUUGGGUUUAAAGGGAGCGUAGAUGGGUUGUUAAGUCAGUUGUGAAAGUUUGCGGCUCAACCGUAAAAUUGCAAUUGAUACUGGCAGCCUUGAGUU